CCCUCACGCUGGGCGCUCGUUGCCGCGUGCAGGUGUCCCGCCCCGCCCCGCGAGGUUGCGCGCUUUGUUCUCCAUCCUGCGCUCUUCUGGCACGUCUGCGCGACUCGGGCCUCCGUUUUCCUCCAGUGCAUCACUCUCUCCCGCGUGAUUGUCGCCGCCGUGUAGAGAUGGCUUUCGGGACAAUUUAGCAGGUACCUGAAGCUAUUCAAGUUGGUACCUUAGACAUUUUGAUAUGACCAAACACUGAUCUGCUUGCUGCCAUUUAGUUUUUGCCUUUUCUACAAUUUCACAUAAAUGGGAUUAUAUGUUCAUUCCAGGAGCUUCCAGGUUAGUGAGCACAUGGAGAUAUGGGAAGACUGGCAUACCUGGAAAGACAUGGAGACGCCACGUCCCUGCAUGGACACCUUGCCCUCUGUCCUCUGCCCUCUGCAUCUGUUC